GUGUUUCAACUUGGAAAAUCCUGA
rnacentral:piRNA from 1 species